GGCGUUUUGGCUGAGUGGUUAUAGCGAUAGACUAGAAAUCUAUUUCCUUCGGGAGCGUAGGUUCAAAUCCUGCAGACGUCG
rfam:Rhynchosporium commune strain TK7 genome assembly, contig: RCO7_scaffold004